AGUCGAGCGGAGAUGAGGUGCUUGCACCUUAUCUUAGCGGCGGACGGGUGAGUAAUGCUUAGGAAUCUGCCUAUUAGUGGGGGACAACAUUCCGAAAGGAAUGCUAAUACCGCAUACGUCCUACGGGAGAAAGCAGGGGAUCUUCGGACCUUGCGCUAAUAGAUGAGCCUAAGUCGGAUUAGCUAGUUGGUGGGGUAAAGGCCUACCAAGGCGACGAUCUGUAGCGGGUCUGAGAGGAUGAUCCGCCACACUGGGACUGAGACACGGCCCAGACUCCUACGGGAGGCAGCAGUGGGGAAUAUUGGACAAUGGGGGGAACCCUGAUCCAGCCAUGCCGCGUGUGUGAAGAAGGCCUUAUGGUUGUAAAGCACUUUAAGCGAGGAGGAGGCUACUGAGACUAAUACUCUUGGAUAGUGGACGUUACUCGCAGAAUAAGCACCGGCUAACUCUGUGCCAGCAGCCGCGGUAAUACAGAGGGUGCGAGCGUUAAUCGGAUUUACUGGGCGUAAAGCGUGCGUAGGCGGCUUUUUAAGUCGGAUGUGAAAUCCCCGAGCUUAACUUGGGAAUUGCAUUCGAUACUGGGAAGCUAGAGUAUGGGAGAGGAUGGUAGAAUUCCAGGUGUAGCGGUGAAAUGCGUAGAGAUCUGGAGGAAUACCGAUGGCGAAGGCAGCCAUCUGGCCUAAUACUGACGCUGAGGUACGAAAGCAUGGGGAGCAAACAGGAUUAGAUACCCUGGUAGUCCAUGCCGUAAACGAUGUCUACUAGCCGUUGGGGCCUUUGAGGCUUUAGUGGCGCAGCUAACGCGAUAAGUAGACCGCCCUGGGGAGUACGGUCGCAGACUAAAACUCAAUGAAUUUGACGGGGGCCCGCACA
rnacentral:rRNA from 1 species